rnacentral:rRNA from 1 species
AUGUCCAAGCUGGUCAGCCUGCAGUUCUCCUUCCGCUACAAGAAGGGCAUCGACAAUAGUGCAGCGGACGUGCUGUCCCGUGUCGGCCAUCUCGUUGCACUCGAUGCUCUCUCGCUGUGCCAGCCCCAAUGGCUACAGGAGGUGGCUAACUCCUACAAAACUGAUCCUGACUCGCAAGAGCUGCUGGCGAAGGUCGCGGUCACCGCCGUCAACGACCAGGGGCGCACAUUACAGAACGGCGUCAUCAGGCAGCGUGGCCGGCUCUGGAUUGGGGCCAACUCAGCAUUGCAGACCAAGCUCAUCGCCGCCCUCCAUCACAGUGUCGUGGGUGGACACUCCGGCGCCAUGGCAACCUACCACCCCGUCCGCAAGCUGUUCGCCUGGCAAGGUCUGAAGCAUGCUGUGGAGGAUUUUGAGCUGACCAUGGAUUUUGUCAAGGGGUUUCAGAAAUCUGAGGGCUCCGACGCGAUCAUGGUCGCCGUUGACAGGCUGACCAAGUACGCCCACUUCAUGCCGCUUCAUCACCCCUUCACCGCCGUCCAAGUUGCUCGCGCCUUCUGGGAACAUGUCAUCAAGCUUCACGAGAUCCCUCAUUCGAUCGUCUCCGAGCGUGACAAGAUCUUCACUAUCGCCAUGUGGCGCGAAUUGCUCUCCGCCGCAGGAACCAAACUGUUCUACUCCACUGCGUACCACCCACAGACGGAUGGCCAGAUGGAGCGGGUCAACUAG